CUUGUGACUUUAGUCAUGAGUUAGUAGCUAAAAUAGUCAGCAUAUAGGGAAACCUAUAUGUAGAGAUAGGAUAGAACCUAUCCAAUACUACUUGAAUUGCUGGAAACCCCUAAAGCUAACCAAACUAAAACAUAAGGAUGAAAUAAACCUAAGUGUGAAAGUUACGAAAGUAGAAAAAAUUGGUUAGAUGGUAUAAGGUUAAAUCCUAAGUACUUUAAAAUGGGCAAUCAGCAGGUAAGCUCCGAAUAGGAGAAACUUCAACGACUAUUCCUCUUGAGGGAAGUACACUACAAGUUAUUGGUAGUGGAAGUGGGUAGACCUUAACGGAUAAUGCCGAAGGAUAAGAUAUAGUCUGUGCUUGCAUGAAAGUGUAAG
rfam:Clostridium difficile 630 complete genome